rnacentral:rRNA from 1 species
GAUGAAACGCUAGCUACAGGCUUAAACACAUGCAAGUCGCGGGGUAACAUCUGGGAGAGCUUGCUCUUCCAGGAUGACGACCGGCGCACGGGUGAGUAACGCGUAUCCAACCUGGCCCAUACCACGGGAUAGCCCGUCGAAAGGCGGAUUAAUACCGUAUGCUGUCAUUAAGAUGCAUAUAUUGAUGACGAAAGGACUGGCGGUAUGGGAUGGGGGAUGCGUCUGAUUAGCUUGGUUGGCG